AGAGAAGAGAUGGCCUGGGAAGCCGAGGAAGAGAUGAAGGAUAAGUAUCCUCACUUGUUUUCUACGCCUACAGGUAAUCUAAACCUCUCGAUUAAUUAUAUUGAUUGACAUAUGAAACUAUUUGUUGUUGCAAAAAAAAGACUAUUCCCCCAAAUUUCUUAUAAGACUUUAUGAGGCGGGUUUAACAUUCGAGGACGAAUGUUCUAAAGGGGGGAAGAAUGUUACAUUCCGUAUUUUUGCAUUUUGGAUUAUUCGUACGCUAACGAUUAUAAAUUCAAGGACUUUUAAUUUUGAAUUUUAAAAGGACAUGAUUUGUUGUAGAUGCCAAGUUAUAUGAAUAAUUUAUGUGUAGUAAAAUACAUCUCAAGAAGGACCCUUAAGCCAAAUCAAAAUAGAAGCCAUCAAAUAUGUUUUUCUUAAAGUUACGUUUCGGGUAAGCUGACUUCGGGAGGCCAUAACCUCUUUAUAAUUUGAGAAUUUGGGAAAACUCUCAACAUGAAAGUUGUAGAUAAUUGAAAUAUCUUUCCAACCAUAGGUCGUGGGACGAAAUGUGAUAUCGGAGUAAUAAGAUAUAGACGUUUUAAGUCUGACAGGCCAAACUAAAUAGUGAAUUCGGCCCAACCCAAUUUUAAUUCGGGUCAGGCCCAAUACCCACGAAAUUAAUCAAAAUUCUAUGUCUUCCUUCAUAGUUUAGACCAAGAAAUAUCUGGAAAUUUCCAGAGAGAGUAAGAUAAGGGAAAGCUAGAGAGAAACACCAACAUCCACCACAAUUAAAGCCCCGAAUCUCAAAGCUCUUGAAGAGAAAAUUGUUGUACGUCGCGUUGGCUUCAAUUUGAGCUAGAAAUCAGCCAAUAAGGAGAAGAUUUUAUGUGGUGCUGCAAAUUUAAGGUUGAGACAAUAUUGGACAACAUAUACGUAUAAACGCUAAAGGUACAAAUACUCAUUUUGGAGAGCCGCCAACUUAGGAUUCUACUCAACGAGUUUGAAGUGCUCCAUUGUCUCGGAGCCCAAACUUUGGGUACUAAUCCUUAUAAUGUAUAUAUUUGUGUAUUUAGGGGUACGACGGGGCCCUGUCCCGUCAUAUGCUAUUGUUAAUUCUCUUAGAGGUCUGUAGACAUAUGAGUGGGUUGUAUAUAGAUGUUGUCCGGUGUACUAGUAUGACUUAUGUUUUUGGACGUUUACAUUCAGAAUGGAAGCCUUGUCGGCUUACAUAUUAUGUUAUCUUAUUUUUGACAAUUAAGACUCCCCAAGAAAUAGCUGAUUUUGGUAUAUAUAUAAGUGACCG